UUCACAUCUCUCUCUACCUAAUCACUUUCUCUCUCUUAUCUUCUCUCUCAACAAAACAACCACCACCAUCACCACUCCACCACAACCACCACCGUCAUCGCCGCACCAACACCGCAGCACCACCACCUCCACCAACACCGCAGCACCACCACCUCCACCAACACCGCAGCACCACCACCAUUGUAGCCCCUCCACCACCGCUGCACCACAUCGGAAAAUGCUAACGAAGAAUGAAAGCCAAAUCGGAGACGAUUAAAGCUUACCUGUGACUACUACCUUACAUCGUUGUUGUCAGCCACCAUUUACCUGCACUAUUUGCUGUUGAAGUUUGCUUUUUAAAUCAGAAAAUUUUUGGGGAUGUGAUUCAGAUUGAAGAUUUUGGGGAUGUGAAAGAUUAUAGAUCUGGUUUUGGGGAUUUUGGGGGGCGGUGGUGAUUCAGAUAUGGGGGGCUGGUGAUUCAGAAGAUGCGGAGGGUCAAUCCAGACUUUAGAAGACAUAGGGGUUACUUGAGAUUGGUGUCAAAAAGUGUAUAAAACCAGUGUAGUACCCUAUUGUAUGAGAGUUAGGUUCAGUUUAUUCCUUGUAUUUUUGUUCUCAUCGACAAUUUGGCUCCAAAACCAAGAGGCUAAAAGGAAUUGGUAUUGGUGCUUCUGA
rnacentral:lncRNA from 1 species